rnacentral:rRNA from 1 species
CAUGCAAGUCGAGCGGAAAGGCCCUUCGGGGUACUCGAGCGGCGAACGGGUGAGUAACACGUGAGCAACCUGCCCCAGGCUUUGGGAUAACCCCGGGAAACCGGGGCUAAUACCGAAUAUGACCUCCGAUCGCAUGGUUGGUGGUGGAAAGUUUUUCGGCUUGGGAUGGGCUCGCGGCCUAUCAGCUUGUUGGUGGGGUGAUGGCCUACCAAGGCGACGACGGGUAGCCGGCCUGAGAGGGCGACCGGCCACACUGGGACUGAGACACGGCCCAGACUCCUACGGGAGGCAGCAGUGGGGAAUAUUGCACAAUGGGCGGAAGCCUGAUGCAGCGACGCCGCGUGAGGGAUGACGGCCUUCGGGUUGUAAACCUCUUUCAGCAGGGACGAAGCGUAAGUGACGGUACCUGCAGAAGAAGCGCCGGCCAACUACGUGCCAGCAGCCGCGGUAAUGC